rnacentral:rRNA from 1 species
GAUGAACGCUGGCGGCGUGCCUAAUACAUGCAAGUCGAGCGAACGGACGAGAAGCUUGCUUUUCUGAUGUUAGCGGCGGACGGGUGAGUAACACGUGGAUAACCUACCUAUAAGACUGGGAUAACUUCGGGAAACCGGAGCUAAUACCGGAUAAUAUUUUGAACCGCAUGGUUCAAAAGUGAAAGACGGUCUUGCUGUCACUUAUAGAUGGAUCCGCGCUGCAUUAGCUAGUUGGUAAGGUAACGGCUUACCAAGGCAACGAUGCAUAGCCGACCUGAGAGGGUGAUCGGCCACACUGGAACUGAGACACGGUCCAGACUCCUACGGGAGGCAGCAGUAGGGAAUCUUCCGCAAUGGGUGAAAGCCUGACGGAGCAACGCCGCGUGAGUGAUGAAGGUCUUCGGAUCGUAAAACUCUGUUAUUAGGGAAGAACAUAUGUGUAAGUAACUGUGCACAUCUUGACGGUACCUAAUCAGAAAGCCACGGCUAACUACGU